CAGUAGCCACGGGAAUACAGAGGGUGCGAGCGUUAAUCGGAUUUACUGGGCGUAAAGCGUGCGUAGGCGGCUUCUUAAGUCGGAUGUGAAAUCCCUGAGCUUAACUUAGGAAUUGCAUUCGAUACUGGGAAGCUAGAGUAUGGGAGAGGAUGGUAGAAUUCCAGGUGUAGCGGUGAAAUGCGUAGAGAUCUGGAGGAAUACCGAUGGCGAAGGCAGCCAUCUUGCCUAAUACUGACGCUGAGGUACGAAAGCAUGGGGAGCAAACAGGAUUAGAGACCCCGGUAGUCCCUGUCUCUUAUAC
rnacentral:rRNA from 1 species